rnacentral:misc_RNA from 1 species
ACACCUCAACUCUCAUGGUUUGCCAUGAUGAGCUUGGACUCUGGAGGUCUUGCUGGCUCAUGGUCAGCUCCUCUUAAAUGAAUCAGCUUUCCAGUGUUUGGGGGCAUCACAGGUGUGAUAACUAUCUACGCUUGUGGUGUCCUCCCAGGUAACCUUCAAGCAUGGAGGUCGCUGGAGCUAAUAAAUGCACAUCUCUCACUGUAGAGAUGGCUUUUUAGAU